UUUUUGGUGGCCGAGAUAUUAGGCCGUAGAUUUUUAAUCUACUAACGGGUUUAACCCUCUUGCGU
rnacentral:tRNA from 1 species